GACGAACGCUGGCGGCGUGCUUAACACAUGCAAGUCGAACGGUGAUCUUGAGAGCUUGCUCUUGGGUGAUCAGUGGCGAACGGGUGAGUAACACGUGAGUAACCUGCCCCUGACUCUGGAAUAACUUCGGGAAACCGAAGCUAAUACCGGAUAUGACACAGAGCCGCAUGGUUUCUGUGUGGAAAGUUUUUCGGUUGGGGAUGGACUCGCGGCCUAUCAGCUUGUUGGUGAGGUAAUGGCUCACCAAGGCGACGACGGGUAGCCGGCCUGAGAGGGCGACCGGCCACACUGGGACUGAGACACGGCCCAGACUCCUACGGGAGGCAGCAGUGGGGAAUAUUGCACAAUGGGCGAAAGCCUGAUGCAGCGACGCCGCGUGAGGGAUGAAGGCCUUCGGGUUGUAAACCUCUUUCAGUAGGGAAGAAGCGCAAGUGACGGUACCUACAGAAGAAGCACCGGCUAACUACGUG
rnacentral:rRNA from 3 species